rnacentral:lncRNA from 1 species
CAAUUAACAUUAAGUUGCUUUUCCAGUUCUGGCAUUUUGUUGUAUUGAGGUAGGCUUGGGGUUGAAAAACUUUGCAACUGCUUGAUACAGAUUCUCUUCCUCAAAAGGCUUUGAGACAUAUCCGUCCAUCCCACAUUUCACGCACUCAUCGUAUGUUGCGUGAAUCACAUCAGCUGUCAUGGCCAAUAUAGGUAUAUGGUACUUCUUGUCUUUCCAUCCAUUUCCUUCACCACAUUCACCAUUCAUCUGCUGCUCAUUUGCCUUU